rnacentral:rRNA from 1 species
AAACCAACAGGGAUUGCCUCAGUAACGGCGAGUGAAGCGGCAAAAGCUCAAAUUUGAAAUCUAGCACUUUCAGUGUUCGAGUUGUAAUUUGAAGAAGGUAACUUUGGUUUUGGCUCUUGUCUAUGUUCCUUGGAACAGGACGUCACAGAGGGUGAGAAUCCCGUGCGAUGAGAUGCCCAAUUCCAUGUAAAGUGCUUUCGAAGAGUCGAGUUGUUUGGGAAUGCAGCUCUAAGUGGGUGGUAAAUUCCAUCUAAAGCUAAAUAUUGGCGAGAGACCGAUAGCGAACAAGUACAGUGAUGGAAAGAUGAAAAGAACUUUGAAAAGAGAGUGAAAAAGUACGUGAAAUUGUUGAAAGGGAAGGGCUUGAGAUCAGACUUGGUAUUUUGCGUUCCCUUCCUUUUUGGUUGGGUUCCUCGCAGUUUACUGGGCCAGCAUCGGUUUGGAUGGUAGGAUAAUGACAUUGGAAUGUAGCUUUACUUCGGUGAAGUGUUAUAGACUUUGUUGAUACUGCCUAUCUAGACCGAGGACUGCGUC